GUGUCAGCCGCCGCGGUAAAACGUAGGAGGCGAGCGUUAUCCGGAUUCACUGGGCGUAAAGCGCGCGUAGGCGGUCGAGUAAGUCGGACGUGAAAGCCCCUGGCUCAACUGGGGGAGGUCGUUCGAUACUGCUCGGCUUGAGGGUGAGAGAGGGAAGUGGAAUUCCCGGUGUAGCGGUGGAAUGCGUAGAGAUCGGGAGGAACACCAGUGGCGAAGGCGGCUUCCUGGCUCACCCCUGACGCUGAUAGCGCGAAAGCGUGGGGAGCAAACGGGAUUAGAUACCCUUGUAGUCC
rnacentral:rRNA from 1 species